UUUCAAGUCCCGAACCCUUCUCCCAAGUACUCCUCGUCUCGCACGGCCUUCUCCAUCCAACUCCUCUCCGGCAAACCACUCCUCCGACUCUCCGUCAAGACCACACCUUCGUCAAGCGGCAGAUCCCGGUGCUGAGGCGAUUAACCACGACAGAUCGACCCAUCUCUUCGCCUCCUUCGCCCCCGACGUUGAGGCGGUGACUGAUAUAAGGAGGACAAGAUGAGCGUAAGUCCAGUGCCGGCCUCGGACACUCAUGGCAACCUGGACGAGCAGAUUGCGCAGCUCAUGCAGUGCAAGCCGGUCGCUGUACAGGAGGUUACAUCUCACCCUUUCCCUCGCAUAUUUUUGUUCGAUCGCUCUUUCAAUUUAUUUCUUCUCUGGUUAGGAUGUUUGUUUUGGGGGUUUUCUGCUCGAUUCAUGCGUAUUGUUUACAGAUCUGAGGUUGAGUAGGUUUUCUGCUCGAACUCCUCCUCUCAGGCUAACACAGAAGAAUGGCGGUGCUUGCGAUGGCUUCCGGGGUCCUCCGGCCGAGCCUUGGUCUGAAUCUGGAGCCGGGAGGUGCUGGCUUGUGGCCCACCCUUUUGAGCCACUCGCUUUUGCGCGUAGUGGAGCAUCCUUUCUCCGACGCUGCGCCGUGCAUCACAGCACACGGGGAUACGACGCCUGAGAGCGCAGAGUUGAUGAUUUUAGUGGCUGCCAUUUUUUUCUUGCCUUAAUAGCGGCCAAAAAGAUUUGGCGUGGACGACUUAGACCUUGAUCUCUCCCCUCUCUCUCUAUCUCUGUCACUCUCUCAUUUUGUCCGAGGGUACGACCUUGGCGGCGGCUGUGGGGUUGUGGGCGAUGGCUAAGAGAGUGGACAAGCAGGUAAAUCUCUUCUACCGCGCCGAGUGCGAGGAGCUCGCCAGGAAAGUGGCCGAUCACUCCGACGCCAUCCAGCUCCGUACUAUCUCUUGCAGAUUAGGGUGCUUUGCGAAAAAGCUAAGGAGGUUUUAAUGGAAGAAAGCAAUAUUCAGGUCAACUGUUCAAUCUGUUCAAAACUUACAAAGAUCCUAGACAAAAUCCAAUUGCUCACAAGAUUAUUUUGUGCUCUUUUGUUUUAUUUGUGAAUAUCAUUAUCUACUUUGAAACAGAAUUAGUGUUAAUUUUGAUAUUUACUAGCUUCUCAUGUAAUUAAAUAUUAAUAUUACUUCAAUG